rnacentral:rRNA from 1 species
GAUGAACGCUGGCGGCGUGCCUAAUACAUGCAAGUCGAGCGAACGGACGAGAAGCUUGCUUCUCUGAUGUUAGCGGCGGACGAGUGAGUAACACGUGGAUAACCUACCUAUAAGACUGGGAUAACUUCGGGAAACCGGAGCUAAUACCGGAUAAUAUUUUGAACCGCAUGGUUCAAAAGUGAAAGACGGUCUUGCUGUCACUUAUAGAUGGAUCCGCGCUGCAUUAGCUAGUUGGUAAGGUAACGGCUUACCAAGGCAACGAAGCAUAGCCGACCUGAGAGGGUGAUCGGCCACACUGGAACUGAGACACGGUCCAGACUCCUACGGGAGGCAGCAGUAGGGAAUCUUCCGCAAUGGGCGAAAGCCUGACGGAGCAACGCCGCGUGAGUGAUGAAGGUCUUCGGAUCGUAAAACUCUGUUAUUAGGGAAGAACAUAUGUGUAAGUAACUGUGCACAUCUUGACGGUACCUAAUCAGAAAGCCACGGCUAACUACGUG